GGAUAUAAAUAUUCCAGGGAGUAAACGUAAGUGUACUUGGGUGCACGAGUUCCUGCUGCAGUACGCUCAUCGACUAGCUUGUAGCAUCCGUGCUUCAGAUCUUAACAGUGAUGGCGAACGUUUCCGGCCUCUUCAUGCUGGUCGCUUCUGGGAUUGCUGCUCAGCUCCUGGCUUACCCGGCGGGUGCCAUUGGAUUGCCGUUGAUGAUGCUGUGUAUCCUACGGGGCCGUACGGACGUGCCGACAACUGAAGACGCUUGAGGCGAGCACGUGAAGGAAC